ACUUUGUUUUAAUAUAUUAAAAAGGAGAAUUUGAUAUUCCAUAGUAAUAAUACUUUGAAAACAUAAUUUUAAAUUCCUAAAUAUAUACCAAAGAAUUUUAAAACUGUUAUUCCUCACACCAGUUCACUUUCAGCAAUCACAAAAAAAAAAAAAUUGCAUCGCCAGUUACAUGUUAAACUUAAAAUUGUUCUUGAUUGGAUUAUAAUAAACAUGUGUAUGUUAAUGGGUUUGAGCAUUUCUUCUAUAUAUUGUUGUAGUUUCGUCGCCACAAUUUCCAUGUGGUCGCUCAUGGUAAAAAUGGUCAUAUGGCCUCGAAGGAUUCAUGCAGUUAUUCAAUGGGACGUCUUACUUUAGCGGCGUCUCUCGGAGAAAAUAUUGGAACCCCAUCAUAUAUAUUUUUAGUCAUUAGCUAUUUGUUGUAAUGAUAGAGAAAUGUCUUCUUGUUUCCUUAUUGUUAAGUUUAUAUUCAUUUGAUUCUUAAUUAUCUCUUCACUGCAUCGCCAAUAUCAAUAUAUUUGUAUAUUUCCUUUUUUUUUUUUCUUUAACUGCGUUAGAAUUUUAUCACACAUUUUAACAAUUUGAAUUGUUUUUUGAAAAUUUGAAACUCUA
rnacentral:lncRNA from 1 species